rnacentral:rRNA from 1 species
CCAGACUCCUACGUGAUUCAGCAGUGAGGAAUAUUUUUCAAUGGCCUAGAGGCUGAACCAGCCAAUUCGCUUUAUGGAAUACUGCCCUACGUGUUGUAAACCUCUUUUGUCGGGGAUCAAAUCUGACCACUUUUUGUUCAUUGAGAUUACCCGAAGAAAAAUCAUCGGCUAACUCCGUGCCAGCAGCCGCGGUAAUACGGAGGAUGCGAGCGUUAUCCGGAUUUAUUGGGUUUAAAGGGUGCGCAGGCGGAGGUGCAAGUUAGCGGUCAAAUUGCGGGGCUAACACACGUAAUGAAGUUGAAACUGCAUAAAUUGAGUGAGCGAGAAGUAUGCGGAAUGAGUGGUGUAGAGGUGAAAUGAAUAGAUAUAAAGCAGAAAUCCGAUUGAGAAGGAAGAAUACAGGAGAAAAAAUGAAGAUGAAGAAAGAAGGAGUGGGUAUCGAAAAGGAUUAGAUACCACAGUAC